rnacentral:rRNA from 1 species
AAGGAUCAUUACCGUGACGCGGCCCGGGUCCGCCCGGGCUCGCCCACCCCUGUGUACGCACCGAAUUGAUUGCUUCGGCGGGCCCCCCGCGCGGGCGGCCCGCCGAAAGACCUCGAGACCCUGCUCGUGUGGUGACGUCGGAGCGACAAAGCAAAUAGCAAAACUUUCAACAACGGAUCUCUUGGUUCCGGCAACGAUGAAGAACGCAGCGAAAUGCGAUACGUAGUGUGAAUUGCAGAAUUCAGUGAAUCAUCGAGUCUUUGAACGCACAUUGCGCCCUUUGGUAUUCCGAAGGGCACGCCUGUUCGAGCGUCAUGUCGCCAUCAAGCACCGCUUGGUCUUGGGCGCCCGCCGCGGCGGGGCCCCAAACGCGUCGGCUGUCGGCCCUCCGAAGUGCGACGCUCUCGCAACCGCAGGAGGGGCGGCGCGCCCACCUAACCUUUUGAACGUUGACCUCGGAUCAGGCGGGGAUACCCGCUGAACUUAA